UGAACGCUGGCGGCAGGCCUAACACAUGCAAGUCGAGCGGCAGCGGAAAGUAGCUUGCUACUUUGCCGGCGAGCGGCGGACGGGUGAGUAAUGUCUGGGAAACUGCCCGAUGGAGGGGGAUAACUACUGGAAACGGUNGCUAAUACCGCAUAACGUCUNCGGACCAAAGUGGGGGACCUUCGGGCCUCACACCAUCGGAUGUGCCCAGAUGGGAUUAGCUAGUAGGUGGGGUAACGGCUCACCUAGGCGACGAUCCCUAGCUGGUCUGAGAGGAUGACCAGCCACACUGGA
rnacentral:rRNA from 1 species